rnacentral:rRNA from 1 species
UACGUAGGGGGCAAGCGUUGUCCGGAUUCAUUGGGCGUAAAGCGCACGUAGGCGGUUCGUUAUGUCGGAUGUGAAAGCCCUUGGCUUAACCGAGGAAGUGCAUCCGAAACUGGCGAGCUAGAGUACUAAAGAGGAUCGCGGAAUUCUCGGUGUAGAGGUGAAAUUCGUAGAUAUCGGGAGGAACACCGGUGGCGAAGGCGGCGAUCUGGGUAGAUACUGACGCUGAGGUGCGAAAGCGUGGGGAGCAAACAGG